rnacentral:rRNA from 1 species
CCUACGGGAGGCAGCAGUGAGGAAUAUUGCGCAAUGGGGGAAACCCUGACGCAGCGACGCCGCGUGCAGGAUGACUGCCCUAUGGGUUGUAAACUGCUUUUAGCAGAGACGAAACGCCUUCAUUUAUGAGGGUCUGACGGUAUCUGCAGAAUAAGCCCCGGCUAACUCCGUGCCAGCAGCCGCGGUAAU